rnacentral:lncRNA from 1 species
AAUUGAUUCAUGGGUGUUGGUCUUUCCGGUGCUAUUCUCAUGAUAGUGAAUAAGUCUCAUGAGAUCUGAUGCGUUUAUCAGGGGUUUCCGCUUUUGUUUCUUCCACAAUUUCUCUUGCCCUGGCCAUGUGAGAAGAGCCUUUUGUCUCCGGCCAUGAUUAUGAGACCUCCCCAGCCAUGUGGAACUGUAAGUAAAAUUAAGCGUCCUUUUCUUCCCAGUCUCGGGUAUGUCUUUAUCAGCAGAAAAAAAAAAAAAAAAAAAAAAAAAAGACUAAUACACUGUAUUACUAAAAUAAUAAUAAGACAAUCAAAUGUUAUUUUAACAGGUUAAACUUAGGUAAUAAAUUGUUUCCCAUUUAAAUUGCUUUCCUCUAAAACUUAUUCCUUUCAUUUUUAAUACCUUCAACUGAAUAACCAAAACGGGAAAUAAAGGCAUGAAUCUAGAGACUUUCAUCUUGUUCAGCUCUCUCCAAUUUGUCACUAUAAUAUAAGCUAUAAACAUCUUUACCAUCUCUGUGAUAUAUCCCUUUAUUUUCACCAGGACGACCAAUGCAUUGGGCUUAGGUCUCACUGUCUUCCAACCAGAAAACUGUAACAUUAAUCUUAAUUAUUUUCCUGUCAUGCACUAACCAUUUAAAUUAAAUAAAUGUUGAAAUUUGUGAAUUGGUUUCCUUGUAGUUCCCUGCGGAAGAUUAUAUCUGAAUCAUUACAAGAAAGAAGAAAGAUACUUAUACUAUGGAUUGGGGGCAAGUUAGUUCUAGCCAGAAGUAACAGUCAAUGAGACGGCCCUAAGGUUCGGGAUUGCAUCUGGCAGAGUGAAGGAACAGAGGAGAGGCCAUUGUGUGAUUAGAAUUGAGUGAGUAACAGAAAGAAAGGAGGGAGUCAAUGGGAUAAACUGAAGUGACUCAUCAAGAACAUGUAAUAAAACCCUCAAACACAGAUUACAUUAUGAAUAAAAUUAACUGCUGAAAAAGAACGGAAAGCAACAGAUGAUCAUCAAGAAAAGAUGAAAUUUAAGUAAUCAGGUUUGAUGGGUACUUGUUUCUACUUAAAUGUCUGUAUCAUAUUGCACCUGGCCAAGUUCACUGCUAUAUCUGUCCCGGAAGGGGAAAAAACAGAGUCCUUCACUUCUAGUACAAGGGUAAAUUCUUGAUGGGAAAAUUCAAACAGAAAAAGUGAGCAUUGGUGAGUUAAAAGGAUUUCAAACAAGAGUGAAUAAAACAAAGUUCACACCUCUCCAGCUGAAGACAAGGACAAACUAAAGCCUUCCCUUGGCACCUGAAGCAUUCAACCGGACUAAGACGGCCCCUCUCUAGAAUUGUGAACACUUGUUUCUAAAAUAAUACCUACAUGCCAUUCUAGUCCCUUCUAUAGUGUGUAUUUUGCUUUUUCAGUCCAAAACAUGUCAAUGUAUAUGUAUUUUAAAUUACACUGAAUGUAAAAAAAGCAUAGUACUUACGUAGCAGAAUAAAUUAAUUUUGUUCUACGUGUUCUGUAUUUAAGGGACACAUGCCUCAUGUACUUUCAUGGGAAAUGAAAAUUUCAAUGGUGGAUCGUCCUCUAACUCUAUUCUCCAGGAUGGAAAUGUCACUAGUAAUCAACAAUAGGCAGGUGAGACGAAUUUUGGUGGAGAAGUAGAGAAGGCUUGUCCAUUUGCUUGUGUCAAUGACACUACCCUGUAAAAUUUGUGUAAUCCAGAAACCACACUUUUUGUGUGAUUUACAAAAACUGGAUUACAAAAAGCUACAGCAUGAAGAUACUUUGAUUUAUCUUUCUGAAAAACUUACUGUAAGUCCAUUUUUUAAAUUUUACUUCAAAUCACCUACAAAUGACAUUUUUAUUUGUUUACAUCCAGUGGCAGUUAGUCUAUCAUAGUAGUAUUGAGAGGUGACAACGUGCUAGCAGCCCUUGCUCGCUCUCGGCGCCUCCUCUGCCUUGGCGUCCGCUCUCGAGGAGCCCUUCAGCCCACCACUGUGCUGUAGGGGCCCCUCUCUGGAGCUGGCCGAGGCCGGAGCCGGCUCCCCUCUGCUCUCCGAGAGGUGUGGAGGGAAAGGCGCGGGCGGGAGCAGGGGCUGUGCGCCCCGCUCCUACACCGGUGCAGCUUCGGGGUGGGCGCAGGCUCCGAGGGCCAGCACUAGGAGCUGCCAGCCAGCGCCUGCUGGGCUUGAUGGGGGGACGAUCUCCCUCUGGGCUGCUGGAGUGGCCUGGCUAGGUGCCACAAAGUCCCAUGGCGAGUGCCAUUGACAGGCGAAGCCGGCUGGGUUUCUGGGUCUGGUGGGGACCUGGAGAACUUUUGUGUCUAGCUAAAGGUUUGUAAAUGCACCAAUCAGCACUCUGUGUCUAACCAAAGGUUUGUAAAUGCACCAAUCAGCACUCUGUCUCUAGCUAAUCGGGUAGGGGACUUGGAGAACUUUUGUGUCUAGCUAAAGGAUUGUAAAUGCACCAAUCAGCGCUCUGUGUCUAGCUAAAGGUUUGUAAACGCACCAUUCAGUGCUCUGUCAAGACAGACCAAUCAGCUUUCUGUAAAACGGACCAAUUAGCUCUCUGUAAAAUGGACCAAUCAGUAGGAUGUGGGUGGGGCCAGAUAAGGGAAUAAAAACAGGCCGCCCCAGCCAGCAGGGGCAACCUGCUGGGGUCCUCUUUAAUGCAGUGGUAACUUUGUUCUUUCCCUCUUCCCAGUAAAUCUUGUUGCUGCUCACUCUUUGGGUCUGUGCCACCUUUGUAGCUGUAACACUAACCGCUAAGGUCUGUAGCUUCACUCCUGAGGCCAGCUAGACUACAAACCCACUGGGAGGUUGGAACAUCUGGAAGGGAGGAACAUCCGGAAGGGAGGAAGAAACAACUCCAGACUCACCGCCUUUAAGAAUCGUAACACUCACCACAAAGGUCUGCAGCUUCACUCCUGGAGUCAGUGAGAUCACGAACCCAACAGAAGGAACAAACUCCGGACACACCAACUUUAAGAACUGUAACCCUCACCACGAGGGUCUGCUGCUUCAUUCUUGAAGUCAGCAAGACCAAGAACCCACCAAUUCUGGACACAGUAUCCCUUGAUUUAUCAAGAUAUAAUGAAAACCUACAAUGUAACAGGUAAUGUGUAACAUAUUGGUGUUAAAAAGAUGAUAAAAUUAAAAUAUAGUUUCUGUCCUUAGAGAGUUCAUGUCUAAUAGGAGAUAGACAAGCAAAUAAGCUAUUGUAAAUUAAAAAAAAAACUUAUUAUGGUAAAAAUAGAAAUUAUUUGUCUUUAAAAAUGGUGUGUUUAAUACACAAAAACAUUUUAUUAGUUCACCAUAACCUUUACCUCUACCUAUGUUUGAGCUCGAGUUGUCUAGAUUCAUCUAGGCUCUUAUAGGUAGCUUACUGCCUCAUAAAUUUCAAACUAUCUUUAGUUCUUUGGUACACGCAGUCAAUUCAAACCACAGACCUUCUUCACAUAAAAGUCAGAUUGAUUACUUGAUAUUCCAUGCUCAUCCUAAAAGGAAUUAUGCUCACUGACCUUGAUAUACUCACUGACCUUGUUUGACUACACUUUUCGACAGAUUGGCUGUUCUGGUUCUAUAUAGGGAAGGAUUGUAUAGGCAAUGAAUGAGAAGAAUUUCAUAAAUUUAUAUCUUUCCAGGUAAAGUUGUGAAUAAUACAAUUUAUCAAUUUCAAAAAAUGGAAAAGAAAAAUGAGGAGGGAAUUUACAUGCAUAUGAAAACAGAGAUAUGUGAGGUUGAAGGAAAAUAAAAGUUUAAAAUAGAUCAGAAAUAUUUGGAUUUUUAACAUUAAAAUUCGAGUACGUUUUCAUAGCGAGCUUGCUCUGCUCCUUCAUGAAUAUACAUGUAACUAAAACCAACACUCCUAAAAUCUUACGAGAAUUAAGAAACCAAUUAAAAAACAAAACAUUAAAAGAGAGGACUAUUUGGAAACAACUAAAUCGGAGAGGCAGGCAAUUAAUAGUUUGAAUAACAAAGGGAAACUAGCAAAAAGUCAAUUAGAAGUUAAAUACAUGAAAUUUUAAAUCACUUAAACAAAAGCUAACUUCUAAUUUUGUUGCAGGCAAGUCAUUGACUUUUAAAAAAUAUACUUGAAAAGUAUGUAACCAUUAUGCUACUUCAUAUUCCUAAUAAACAACGUGAGGGGGAACUGUUUUCUGCUUUCAGUCAGCUUCUAAAAGGAUCAAAAUAUUUUUACCACUCAUAUGUAAGCUCUAUCUCCACAGAGAAUCUUGUGUUUUAUUCAUCAUGGUAGCCAAGGUUUGGUUCAAUUGCUGUCAUUCCAUUUUAACACAUGCUAGGCAUUGAAAUAUAUGAUUAGAAUUAGCAUUGACUGAGUCUUUGGCAAGAUUAUUCAUUGAAAUGCCCCUUUAUGUUUCAUUCGCACUGCUUCAGAUAAUUAGAAGGAAAAUGUGAAAAGAAUUAAGAGUCAAACUGGUUUUAGCUUCUUACGUGGCUCCUCCACUUAUUUCAAAGGAAAAGCUUGGUGUUAUGCAUGACAACUGGCGCAUCCCUCGUCCUUAAUGUAGAAUUAGGUGUCUUUAGGUGAAAAAACCAAAGAAUUUAGGAAAAACUUACUUUUUUUGUAAUAAGAAAGUGAUUCUAGGUCUUGAAGACUAAAAAAAGGGUGACCAAAAUCAUCAGAAUGUGAAACAGCUUCCCUCAAGAUUGGAAAAUUUUCCAUCAAUAUAGGGAAUGACAGGAUUUAGGAUCUGAAUAGAAGCAAAAACCCUUGCCUAUGUCCCAGUAAGUGGCGACAGUAGCAAAAUCUUACAUGGAAGAGUUGGGGGUUGUUGUACACUGAAGAAUAAAUUCAAGAAGUCAGGGCUUUUUAGCCCUAGCAAAUUGAAAUCCCCACCAUUCUGGCCAUAUUAUAGGAGGAGAAGUUAAACUGAGUUUAGAAAAUGAAAAAUGAUCUCAGCGAAGUCACCAGUAAAAGAGGAGUCUUCACUGGCCACACUUACUAGGUUAAUUAAUUCCCAGUAUUAUCUGAUCUCAUAGCACCACACCUUUACAACAAUUAUCAGAGUUAAUACUUUAUAUUUAUUUGCUAGGUUUGCUGUUAAGAAUGUAAUCUCCAACAGCAGAUGUCAUGCCUAGUUUUUCACCCUCUUCUAGACUAAAAAAGUCCCAUACUAAAAGUAAAGUUGGUGAAUGAAUUAAUGUGCACUCUAUUGCAUACUCAAGCCUACCACAAGUCAUAUAUGGAAAAAAAAACCUCUUGAAAGUAAUUUAUAAAGAAACUGAUACUAGAUAUAUGAAUUAGACACAAUGUUUGAAUUAUCAAAUUGAGAUAAAACAUUCGAAAGAAAAGUGAUAUAUAGAAAUGUCUUUCAUAGGAAAGCCAUAAGUUGCUACGGUCCAUAAUGCUGAUGUCCUUCAGAUAUAAAAUUGGCCCUUCCAAAUAGGCAGUAAGAUGUUUGCCACCAUUGGUGUUACCGAUUAUUUUAAAGCUCAAAAUACAAAUGACUAGAAUGUAUUUAUUUGUUUGUUUAUUUUUCUACUUCAGUGAGUGUAAUAUGUAGUUUACAACAAAUUGAAUAUCAAAUACUAGGAUAGUAUUAACCUCUUAAAACUGCAGGAUGCAGGGUAAUUCAGUAAAUUAAGGCACAUUAAGAAAACGUAGUAUAUGAUGUAAAUUAUAAGAGAUUGAGAAAGUCACCCAGACAAUGUAAAAGUUCUUGCCCUACUCACUCAUACAAAUAAUUAUUUUGCCAAGUUCUUAGCAAAAUACACUAGGUGUCUCAUGACAGAAACAAAGUGUCUAUGGUAAUACAAUUUGAGUUUCUGUGGCAGUGAGUGAGAAUGAAUGUGCUUACAAUUAUUGGUUUUAUAUGUAUAUAUAUAUGCAUAUUAUAUAUGCAUAUAACAUAUAUAAUUUUAUCCAGUUAUUGGUUAUCUAUGUAUCAUUUAUGUAAUGUGAAUUUCAUUUGUUCAGCCGGACUGUUUUAAACCAUAAUGCUAAAUAAAUAUGUGAAUAUUAUCAAUUUACUCAGCCUCCCAAUGCUUCAGUUUUCUUACUUCUACAAUAGACAUAAUAAUGAUAUUUCAAAUAAAACAUGGUUCUGAGGAGCAAACAAAGUGUAAUAAAUAUAAAGUUAUUAUAUAGUAUAUAAUUAUACUUAUAUGUAUAGUUUAGCAUAGUUUUUGACACAUAGAAAGUGAAGAAAUGAUAGACAGUAGUAAUAAUAGUAAGUAAUUAGUAAUCUGUUAAGUUGCAGGGCUUUUUCUUUUGUAUUUAAAAUAACUAUUUGAAUGUAAACUUAUUGCUAAAUCUAAUGCCAGCUGUUGUGUAUACUCUCUUAGUUUGACUAUGUUUAAUUUAUAGAGAUUUGAUGUUGCUGCAUUAUUGUUUUCUAUGUAUUUAAUUUGAUUACCUGAGACUUGAGAAAGUUAUUCUUUUAUCCAUUUAAUAAAUCGUCUAUUUUAUAUUCUAUGUUCUGAAGGAAAAACUGACAUUUAGUUAGAAAACUGAUGGAUGGGGUUAGAAAAUACAGGGAUAUUCAAAAGCAUGUUUUUUCCUGCUGUGCCAGAGGGAAUCUUUGGAAAUAUCUUUUCCUGUGGUGCUAUGAACAUUCUUUGAAUAUUUGAGAAAAUGCUCUGGUUCUCAAGUUUCAUAAAAUGUAUGAAAAUAAAAACAAGAAAUCCUAUCUAGCAAAUGAUUAAAG